GGUGAACGCUGGCGGCGUGCCUAAUACAUGCAAGUCGAGCGAACAGACGAGGAGCUUGCUCCCCUGACGUUAGCGGCGGACGGGUGAGUAACACGUGGAUAACCUACCUAUAAGACUGGGAUAACUUCGGGAAACCGGAGCUAAUACCGGAUAAUAUAUUGAACCGCAUGGUUCAAUAGUGAAAGACGGUUUUGCUGUCACUUAUAGAUGGAUCCGCGCCGCAUUAGCUAGUUGGUAAGGUAACGGCUUACCAAGGCGACGAUGCGUAGCCGACCUGAGAGGGUGAUCGGCCACACUGGAACUGAGACACGGUCCAGACUCCUACGGGAGGCAGCAGUAGGGAAUCUUCCGCAAUGGGCGAAAGCCUGACGGAGCAACGCCGCGUGAGUGAUGAAGGUCUUCGGAUCGUAAAACUCUGUUAUUAGGGAAGAACAAAUGUGUAAGUAACUAUGCACGUCUUGACGGUACCUAAUCAGAAAGCCACGGCUAACUACGUG
rnacentral:rRNA from 1 species